AUACUUACCUGGUCGGGGUCAAUGGGUGAUCAAGAAAGCUCAUGGCCUAAGUUGGUAACCUGCAUUGCACUUUUAAGAGGGGUGCUAGCGUAAGGUUUUCCCAAAUUAAUAUCAGGUACAAUACAUAGGGUAUUGUACUGGAAAAAAAAUUAAGACAAGU